UAGGGAAUCUUCGGCAAUGGGGGCAACCCUGACCGAGCAACGCCGCGUGAGUGAAGAAGGUUUUCGGAUCGUAAAGCUCUGUUGUAAGUCAAGAACGGGUGUGAGAGUGGAAAGUUCACACUGUGACGGUAGCUUACCAGAAAGGGACGGCUAACUACGUGCCAGCAGCCGCGGUAAUACGUAGGUCCCGAGCGUUGUCCGGAUUUAUUGGGCGUAAAGCGAGCGCAGGCGGUUUGAUAAGUCUGAAGUUAAAGGCUGUGGCUCAACCGUAGUUCGCUUUGGAAACUGUCAAACUUGAGUGCAGAAGGGGGAGAGUGGAAUUCCAUGUGUAGCGGUGAAAUGCGUAGAUAUAUGGAGGAACGCCGGUGGCGAAAGCGGCUCUCUGGUCUGUAACUGACGCUGAGGCUCGAAAGCGUGGGGAGCGAACAGGAUUAGAUACCCUGGUAGUCCACGCCGUAAACGAUGAGUGCUAGGUGUUGGAUCCUUUCCGGGAUUCAGUGCCGCAGCUAACGCAUUAAGCACUCCGCCUGGGGAGUACGACCGCAAGGUUGAAAC
rnacentral:rRNA from 1 species